rnacentral:rRNA from 1 species
CGAACGUUGGCGGCGUGCCUAACACAUGCAAGUCGUGGGGCAGCAGGCUACUGUCUUUUGGCAGUAGUGCUGGCGACCGGCAAACGGGUGAGUAACACGUAGCUUACCUACCCAUAGGUUGGGGAUAACAUCCCGAAAGGGGUGCUAAUACCCAAUAAUGAGGAGACUCCAAAGCCCUUAUGGGCGCCUAUGGAUGGGGAUGCGUCCCAUCAGCUAGUUGGUGAGGUAAUGGCUCACCAAGGCUACGACGGGUAACCGGUCUGAGAGGAUGACCGGUCACAGUGGGACUGAGACACGGCCCGCACCCCUACGGGGGGCAGCAGUGGGGAAUAUUGGGCAAUGGCGAAAGCCUGACCCAGCGACGCCGCGUGGGAGAAGAAGGCCUUCGGGUCGUAAACCCCUGUUCUGGGGGAAGAACCCUGGCUGGGUUAAGAGCCCAGUCAGGCUGACGGUACCCCAGGAGAAAGCCACGGCUAACUGCGUGCCAGCAGCCGCGGUAAUACGCAGGUGGCGAGCGUUGCCCGGAAUUACUGGGCGUAAAGGGUGCGUAGGCGGCCGGACAAGUCGUAGGUUAAAGCCCGGGGCUCAACCCCGGAAAGGCCUACGAUACUGUCUGGCUUGAGGGCUGGAGAGGCUGGCGGAAUUCCCGGUGUAGGGGUGAAAUCCGUAGAUAUCGGGAGGAAACACCGGAGGGGAAGCCGGCCAGCUGGACAGCUCCUGACGCUGAGGCACGAAAGCGUGGGGAGCAAACCGGAUUAGAUACCCGGGUAGUCCACGCCGUAAACGAUGGGUGCUAGGUCUGGGGAGGUAAUCUCUCUGGGCCGAAGCUAACGCGUUAAGCACCCCGCCUGGGGAGUACGGCCGCAAGGCUGAAACUCAAAGGAAUUGACGGGGGCCCGCACAAGCGGUGGAGCACGUGGUUUAACUCGAUGCAAAGCGAAGAACCUUACCCGGGCUUGACAUGCCAGGGUUGUACCCCGGUGGAAACACUGGGGAGCGUGGGGUUUUCUCACGCGCUCUGGCACAGGUGCUGCAUGGCUGUCGUCAGCUCGUGUCGUGAGAUGUUGGGUUAAGUCCCGCAACGGGCGCAACCCCUGCCCUUAGUUGCUACCGGGUAAAGCCGGGCACUCUAAGGGGACUGCCGGGGAUAACCCGGAGGAAGGAGGGGAUGACGUCAAGUCCUCAUGGCCCUUAUGCCCGGGGCUACACACGUGCUACAAUGGGGGGUACAGAGGGUUGCGAACCCGCAAGGGGGAGCUAAUCCCAGAAAGCCCUCCUCAGUUCGGAUCGGGGUCUGCAACUCGACCCCGUGAAGCCGGAAUCGCUAGUAAUGGCGGAUCAGCAUGCCGCCGUGAAUACGUUCCCGGGCCUU